CACUGCGCCCGGCCUCAAAUAAUAUUUUUUAACUUAACCCAAUAUAUCUAAAAUAUCAUUUCAGCAUGUGGCACUAGCCACAUUCCAGGUGCCCUGAAGCCACAUGUGGCAGGAGCUACCGCACCGGGCCAGCAGAGAUCUGGAAUGAGAAGCCCACAGGAUAGGAGCUUCUGCCCCGACCCCUGCCCCCUCCCUGUGAUAGUGAGGAGGGACCUCUGGAGGCAGAAGGUGAAGUGAGCCCCUGAGAAAUACAGGGCAGAGCCCCCCUUUUGCUGGGGGUGGGAGCAACUUUCUGGCCUCUGAGGCAUUACAGUGCCCCAGCAGGGGCUCUCUGGGGGAGGCAGACUAAUGACCACUUCGCCAGGAUAGGGGCCGGGCUGGGGCAGACACUGAGCUCUCCUUUCCAGAGUCUCCUGGCAACUAGAGCAGCUGGUUUGGAGGGAAGAGCCUGACAGCUGGGCUUGGGUACUUCUCAUUCCCAGUCAGUGCCUAGUCUUCUGGCUGUAGCAUCUAAGAAUCUCACGAGGCAAACUGAGCCAGGAGUUCAUUCUAGAGAUGAGGAAACUGAGACCUCAACUUGCCCAAGAUCACACCCGGGCGUUUCCUGCUUCCCAGCCUUUGCAUUUGUCUUGAGUCACGCACUUCUCUUCAGCUUUGAGACGUCAGCUUAGAGGUCACUUCAGCCAGGAUGCCCCGUCCCCCAGCUGCAGACAGGUUCGGACCUUUGUCAGGGUCACACACAGCCAGGAGGGGACUGAAAGCAAGCUCUGCCGGUGCCCUGACCCUGUCCUUUCUCCAGCUUCACCUUGCCUCUCCCAGAGCCAGCCGGCCUCAUGCUGAGGCACCAGCAGGCAGAUGCAGAGGGCUCAGCUGGGAAUGAGAAGGCCACUUCCCGAGAAUUUCUGGAAUCCACAAAUAAGAUCUGAGACAAACAGGACCCCGGCCCUUCAGGCGAGUGCCUGCCUGGAGAUGGGGGUUUCAAAGGUGUGGAUCACGGGGGAAAAUUGUAUUGUCAAAGAAGAAAACCAGUGCUGCCAUCCCUCCUUCACUCAUUAAUUUCUGGGGAAGUAUUAAUUUCUGGGGAAGUAUUAGCUGUCAGCAAGCAGCAGCCCUCCAAUUCGAAUUACAGAAUUUGAAUUCUUAAUUUCUCCUAAUCCAUCAGUGAGCUGCCUUCCUGGGCUAAUAUUAGCAGCAUUGGUGAAGCUUGUAACAGUCAUUGAUGUCUCCAGUCCUCUGAAAAAAGCCCUAAUCAACAGAGCUGGGCCUGGGGCAUGGGCCCCUAGAGGCAGGGACUCCGAUCCCCACUCCCCAGCUGCCCCCAGUCUCCAGGAAGAGAGUGCAGAGUUUUACAAAGGUCCCUGGAGAGACGACAGAGAGAGAGAGAGAGAGAGAGAGAGAGAGAGAGAGCGCAAAGGAGAGGUGGGGAAGAUGGAAUCAGAGCCUGUGAGAGGCUUGGAACCAGGAAGAGAGGGAGAAAGGGGCUCAGGGAAAGACAAAAUCAGUAAGACCAAAAGAGGUGGAGGCAGAGUGAUGGAGAGACUGAGCCAGAGGCCCAAAGAGAUGGAUGGAGCCCGAGCUGGAGAGGAGGAAAGGAGCCUUUCAGAACGUAGAGUCAAAGCAACCCUCAUUCAGACUCUGUGCAGGGAAAAAACACAGGAAAGCAAAACCAAAACCCUCCUGUGACUCCCAGGGUGUCAUGGAAAGUGUGGUGUUCCACGGAUUACAUGGCCCCCAUAUCACUGGGCCCACCAGUUCACAUUGCCUCUAGUUCUGGAUCAGGCACCUUGUCUCAAAUCACAGCUGAAAGACCUCCUCCGUCAGAAGGCCCUCUUGCUUUCUGUCCACCAGCACCAUCUCUCUCUCUCUCUUUUUUUUUUUUUUGAGAUGGAGUCUCAUUCUGUCGCCCAGGCUGGAGGGCAGUGGCGUGGUCUCAGCUCACUGCAACCUCCGCCUCACGGGAUCAAGCGAUUCCUGUGUCUCAGCCUCCUGAGUAGCUGGGACUACAGGUGCGCACCACCAAACUCAGCUAAUUUUUGUAUUUUUAGGUAGAGACGGGGUUUCGCCAUGUUGGCCAGGCUGGUCUCAAACUCCUGGCCUCAAAUGAUCCACCCGCCGCCUCAGCUUCCCUAAGUGCUGGGAUUACAGGCAUGAGCCACCGCACCCGGCCCACCAACACCAUCUUUUCACUGCUGGGCAGUAACACUCUCUCCUGGUCAGCCACCCAGGUCCUGAAGACACUCUGUGCUGCUGCGUCUGUCUCCACGCAGGUGGGAAGAACGUGGGAGGCAAGCCGAGCACUAUUUGUGCACUUCUUUUUAUUUAUUAAUUUUUUUGAGACGGCCUCUCACUCUUUUGCCCAGGCCAGAGUGCAGUGGCACG